UGUUUGUUACACCUACUGCCCUGGCCCAUUUCCUGUCUUCCCUGGUCUUCCCAUCACGGCAUGUUGCCUGCUUUUCAUUUGCUUGCCUGCAGGCCGCUUGCUUGCUAAGGCUCGCACUGCUCUGGCGAUGAGAUCGGGGAUCACGGGAACUGCGCACAGAGAGGCUUUUCGUGAGCAUAGCCUUUGCGGCUGCCCUCCCUCUGUACGCCUUUCACGUGUACUUUCCGCAUGACUUAUUUUUCCGGUUGGGAAAACGGUAAAAGGCGGGGGACCGCUCCUCUGAGAACUAGAUUGCCAACGCCUGAGACACCGCCAAAUACACAUCUGACAGCCGGUUGGCAGGAGGCCCCACAUCACGCCGCACAAGGCGCCCAGUUCUACUCCUAGGUACUUCUGGAGGUUUGCACCAUGGCAUGUGUGCAGAGAUCAGAGAACAACUUUUAGGAGUCAAUCCUUUCCUUUCACCAUGUGGAUCCCAGGGGUGAAACUCAGCACCUUCACCCCGUACGCCACCCCACUGACCUUCCAAUAACUGAAUUUUUGAAAGCUUUAUUUCCACUGGAAAAGGUCAAGCAUAUAUUUGUGUGUCUUCUGACGAUUCAAACUAAAAUCGUAGACCAGCUACUUUUCUUCCAAUAAAAGAGACAAUCAGGGUUUA